AGUGAACGCUGGCGGUAGGCCUAACACAUGCAAGUCGAACGGCAGCACAGUAAGAGCUUGCUCUUACGGGUGGCGAGUGGCGGACGGGUGAGGAAUACAUCGGAAUCUACUUUUUCGUGGGGGAUAACGUAGGGAAACUUACGCUAAUACCGCAUACGACCUACGGGUGAAAGCAGGGGAUCUUCGGACCUUGCGCGAUUGAAUGAGCCGAUGUCGGAUUAGCUAGUUGGCGGGGUAAAGGCCCACCAAGGCGACGAUCCGUAGCUGGUCUGAGAGGAUGAUCAGCCACACUGGAACUGAGACACGGUCCAGACGCCUACGGGAGGCAGCAGUGGGGAAUAUUGGACAAAGGGCGCAAGCCUGAUCCAGCCAUCCCGCGUGGGUGAAGAAGGCCUUCGGGUUGUAAAGCCCUUUUGUUGGGAAAGAAAAGCAGCAGGUUAAUACCCCGCUGUUCUGACGGUACCCAAAGAAUAAGCACCGGCUAACUUCGUG
rnacentral:rRNA from 1 species